UUUGAUUAAGGUUUGUUAGAAUUUGGUUAAGAUUUGUUUAGGAUUUGUUUAGGAUUUUUUAGGAUUUGGUUAAGAUUUUUUUAGGAUUUGGUUAAGAUUUGUUUAAGAUUUGAUUAGGAUUUGGAUAAGAUUUGUGUAGGCUUUGACUAGUACUUAUUUAAGUUUUAUUUAAGAUUUGGAUAGGAUUUUUUUUAAACUUUGAGUAGGAUUUAUUUAGGAUUUGCUUAGGAUUUGGAUAGGAUUUGGUUAAAAUUUGUUUA
rnacentral:lncRNA from 1 species